rnacentral:rRNA from 1 species
UUGAAAGGGAAACGAUUGAAGUCAGUCAUGCUAGUGAAAAAUCAGUUUGACGGGUUUUGAGUUCUUGAGUAGAGGCAGGGUCAAACCGUUUCUCUUUCGAACUUUGGAUCUGUUAGAUGUACUUUUUCUUUGGCAGGUCAACGUCGGUUUCGGAGGUUGUAAAAUACUUGGGGGAAAGUAGCUCUGCUUCGGGAGAGUGUUAUAGACCCUGGGAGAUGCAGCCUGUGGGAUCGAGGAUUGCAGCAAAUGCCUUCUGGCUUGUCGCCUGUUCCUGGGUGUUACCUUUCUUGUAACAACAUUCUUGCUACCGGAGAGUACUAAUGCCUACUGUUUAGAGCGAUCGAAAAUUUCGUUAAGGAUGUUGACGUA